ACAGUCUCAGAGUGAUGGGUACAUCCUGACAAGGUGACAUAGCAGGAAGCCCUAGGCAUGGCUUCAGAAGCAAGAACCUGAAGGGAAGAAGAAAAGAGAACACAUUCAGAUCUUGAAUAACCUGACAUCAUUAAAAGAAGUUUAGUGAUUUGUGACUUGUUUGAAGACAAGAACAAUUUCUAUGUACUCUAAAUGGGGCAGAAUCAUUAUUUAUUGCUGAAUAUUUGUGUUUCCAGUUUAUGCUUCUUCCCUUGGGAUGUCCAGGCACUGCUGCACAUGAAUUGAGGAAGGAUAGAGCAGAGCCAUCUUCCAUGUAAAUCCUGCACAGGAGGUCCUCCAGUGGAAAGCAAACAACCAUGCCAGGAUGAUCUACAUGAGUUCAUUCAUCCUGCCAGGUGCGACAUAAAAAUCAAGUGGUGUCAAAUGUAAUAUUGAGACCAAAUUAAAGUAUCUGUGCAGAGGAUGAAAUUUGCUUGCCUAAAUUUCAAGAAAAAUAACCCACUCUACCAGUCUUCAAGGAGUUAAGAGGUAACAGGGCAUUAAAAUUCAAUUUGUACUGUACUAUGCUAUUUUCCUCUUUCCCUUAUGAUGUACAAUAAUUAAGGAUACAGGAAAUCCUUUAAUGUAAUAGAAGAGUGAGUCAGAUAAACAUCAAAAGGGAAUCUAAUAUAAAGAACUCAGUGACCACAACCAAUAAACAUAUGAAAAAAUGACACAUGAGACAGAAGUUAAGAAACACCAAAUGAAGAAAAAGAUAGGAGAGUGAAUUUAGAACUUCUACAACCAAAUAAGUCCUUCUAAUUCAUUUGAUUUGAUUCAAAUGACACAUGUUUAGACACAUGAUCUUUGGGACUAUCUAUAAUAAAUGUAUUUUGUUGAUGUUCACAUUCAAAAUUGAUUUUUUUCGAAAGCAAUACAAAACUGAAGAUAAUAUUGUGGAACUUCUAACAUGUUACAAUGAUAAAGUAUCUUAUUUGUCA
rnacentral:lncRNA from 1 species